GCGGCACACACACACGCGCUUGCUUUCUCUCCUUCUCCUCUUUUUCUACUGCAUUCGGACUCCAACCGAGAGGGGAUUUAACGCACGCGGCCAGCUGUGGAGGACGUCCCGAACCCCUAAAAACGCGAGAUGUUUCUCCUAGCAGUUCCCGCAGACAGGAAUCCGCUCACAGAGACGAGAGCCACGCUCUCCCCCAGGAGAGGAGUACAAAGGCCAGUCUGCACGCGGCAGAUGCAAAACUGAGUCCAUCUGCUGCAGGCUUCCCAUCGCCACAUGGAGAUUGAAAAGGCUUUGGACUGCAAGGUCAAUGAGGACAAACAAUUCCAGCAGCGGCUCUCGAGCGCAUGCAGAAGAAAGUGCUGGUUGAGGGGGGUGGACUUGUGUGGCGACAGCAGUGGCAGAGCUGGUGUCUCUGAGCGCUGGCAUGAUUUCCAUGGCAACCCCUCUAACUAUUAAUUUUCAAUUAAAGCAGACACAAAACGCCCUGCCCUGAGACUGUGGAAGGUGUCAAGAGCACACAGGGGAAACCAGGCUUUUUUGGAGCCAUGACGCUACUUGGCUUGUUCAUAGUGACAAAAAUCACACCACUGAGCAUCUAAGCUGUGUUUUUAUUGCACAAUCACACCAGUUACAACACCAAAACCACAAAUGAAACUCAUGCAUGCUAAAUAUUAGCAACUGAUAAGAUAAUAAUUGAACAUUUUGGCAUUAUCAUCUCUAUUAUGUCCCUUGGUUGUUUAAGAGAGGUGUUACCUCCCCCUUGUGUCAGUUUUAAAAUCUGACAGGAAUGUCAUCUGCAAUAAAAGGUUAAGUUUACAAUUUUUGGUGAAUUUUAAGUAAAUAAUGUUUAAAAUAAAGUACACAAACUUAAUUUGAAA